CGCGUAGGCGGGAACUUAAGUCAGAUGUGAAAACUCCGGGCUCAACUUGGAGACUGCAUUUGAAACUGAGUUUCUUGAGGGCAGGAGAGGAAAGUGGAAUUCCUAGUGUAGCGGUGAAAUGCGUAGAUAUUAGGAGGAACACCAGUGGCGAAGGCGACUUUCUGGACUGAACCUGACGCUGAGGCGCGAAAGCAUGGGGAGCAAACG
rnacentral:rRNA from 1 species